GGAAAUUUGGCCUUCUCCCCACGGAAACACAUGAUGCCAAAUUAAUAAAACAAAGGCUGAAAACUCUCUCCGCCCACUUUCCCCAAAUUACACUCACGAAUGGACAAAAUUUCCUCACUGCCCAACUCACAGAAAUCUCCAUAUCCACCCAUUUCGAGUCUCGGAAGGGAGAAAGCAAGCUCCGGUCGGCAUGUGCUUGAAGAUCUCCGGCCGCAAGGAGCCCUAGCGCACUCGCACAUGCAAAUGAAUUUCACAAAUCUUGUGAAAACUCUCAUUUCCACCUAAUCUUAGUCUCGUCUGGUAAGCGUAUAAAUGCAUAAUGUUGAUUUAGAUUCCAUAUUUACAGAUCAGAUGUCUGUUGAUAAAAAAUCUGGAAAAAAAAAUCGUAUCUGUUUUAGUUAUAUUUAUCGUUCUCUCCAUAUACCUGUGAUUUUUUCUUUUUUUUUCCCUUGGAUUGAAGAUUUUACCAGUGCUCUGUUAUUUUUAUAUUUGAAAUGUUAAACGUAGAAGACCACAUUUGAAUUGGUAGCAAUCAAAUUUCUCUACACACGAGUUUGGAUUUUUGCUUCACUAUUGUGGAUCUAUGUAAUAGCUGCUGGGCGCAAUUAGAAGUUUCAUUAUCAUGUUUAGUUUUUCCAUUAUCUCCUGCCUCUCAAUUUUUAUUUUUUAUUUUUUGCCAUGUUGAGAUAAAUCGAAUUACAGGAGUUUGGUCUUUAUUGAAGUAAGAUUUGCUAGCAUUGAUAUUGGAUCUUUGGUGAAACAUAGUAUUUGGUUGAAUCUUUUUCUGGGGCCAAAACGUGUCUCCUAACUUAUUAAAUCCGGUGUGUCAUCUAGAUUGGUCCCCUCAAUGCCAUCAGGCAUUUCCUACAUAAAGACCAUGUGGACGUUUGUAACCAUUUUCGCACCAAUGUUUCAGUAUAAUCAGUGGAUAAUUAAUCUGAGUUUCACAUGUGCAUCAUAUAAAUUGGUGUUUGAUGAUGUUGGCUUAAGUUUGGAACCUGCCUCUCUAUUACAAUUUGCUGGUGUACCACUAGGAUCAUGAGAAACUGUGGUUGGAAUACUUAUAAAUUUCUUAUUGAUGCAUAAUAUUGUUUGCCAACAAAUUCCUUUGUGUUAUUUUCCUUCGAACAACAGUGUUUUCUAUUUGAGUUGAUGCUCUGUGAUAUGUUCGCAUCGCAAAAUGGGCUAUAAGAAUUGUGGAAUCUGUCACAGUUGUAGAGUUGAGGGGCAUUUCUUAGCUGACUGUCCAUGGAAACGCCAACGCCCAAAUUGGGAGCACAGAUUUGAGCAAAGUUUCAUGGUGGAGGAGACUAAAAAUAUAGGGCGAUUAUUUUUUUGCUACAGUAAGAAAUGUGGAUUUUGGAAAUGGGUUUUCAAAGAAAAUUAAAGCAGCCAAUUGUCUAGAGCUAGCGCUUCUUUGGUUAACUUUGCAACUAACGAAACAUCUGAACAAAUAUCACACAUGUUUCAAUCUCAAGUUUGCAUCUCUGUGAAAGAAGAUCUACAUAUUAUGGUGAACGUAAAGGUGUGCAAGAAAUUGCCAAAAUGAAUUGAGAAGGAAAGGGGUCGACCUGAUUGGUAGCUAUUAAUUGAAGUAAUAGUUAUUACAUAAUCUUUUGUACGAGGUCGGACUACUUUGAGCGAAGGAAUGUAAACUAUGUUUGUAAAUUACGUUAAUUUAUGAAAUGUUAUAUUUCAACUCUUUUUUUUAACAUCAAUUGUUACUUGUAAAUUACCUUUUAGAUUAUCCAUUUGUAGUUGGCUUCGUAGAUUCACGGCCAUCUUGUUUAUUGAACCUUCAACUAAAAAGUCUCAAAUAAAAAAAUCCAUCGUAUUUGCCUUUUUUGUAGUUCUUAGCAAGAACAGUUGGGUGUUUUUAGUCCUCCUGGGAUUCAUCACGUAUUACCAUAACAUCCCUUUGGGAAAAGAGGAAAGAAUAACCGUUACAAUUUAAAGACUUCAACUAUAUGGAACAUUUUUCUUGUAUGUGCAUGUAUAAUACUAGGCACUAUUGUAAUUUUCUUGUUAUAAAACAGAGAUAAUUCGACGGAAGAUAAGGCAAAUUCCGAAUGUGGAGAACCCAACACCAACCUCAUCACCAGCUUCAUGGCUAUGUACAACUAAGAGAGAACUUGAAAGCCAGCCUCAUCAAUCACUAGAUUAAGGUACAAACUUCAUGGCUCAGUAUGAUGACCACGGACAUUUGCCCGAUUUUUACACUUUGCAAGCUCCUUUUUACUUUAUAUCACAAAGCCGAAAUGAAACAUGUCAAAAUGAAAAGCAAAGGUAAGCUAGCCCAACAUAUUCCUAAUAGAACUGUGUGUGUAUAUAUAUAUAUAUAUAUAUAUAUAUAUAUAUAUAUAUAUAUAUAUAGAUUGCCAAGUGAAUGUUAUAAACAUUCUAGUAGACUGCUGCUUCAAUAAAAAAUCUCCAUUGAAAUAUAUAUAUAUAUAUAUAUAUUGAUUGCCAAGUUAAUGUUAUAAACAUUCUAGUAGACUGCUGCUUCAAUAAAAAAUCUCCAUUGAACCAUGAGUUUCACACGUAUUUACGGCCUACGGUUGAAAGGAUGAGCACUAACGUCAAGAUUUCAGAAAUUGGCCGGAGGAGCAGCUGGUGACUCAGAAAAGAUGAGCACCGAGUUCUAAAUUUCAGAAACUUGGACCGAGGUCGAAGUUUCAAAAACGUGGUCGGAGGAGCAGCUGCUCGGUAGGUUUUCGGCCAGUAAAUCUAUUAUUCGAUGUCGCUGCUGGGGAGACUUCUAUGAGCUGGGCAGUGAGGAAAUUUUUUCCCUUUGUUAGUGUAAUUUGGGGAAAGUGGGUGCCGAGGUUUUGUUUUAUUAAUUUUGCAUUCACUUGGGAAAAGGCAAAAUUUCCCUCCAUUUUCUGGCUUUAUUAAUUUUGUAAUGAAUUAAAUAUUC
rnacentral:lncRNA from 1 species